UAUUUAAAAAUUUAUUUUAAAAUUAUUUUACAUAUAAAUUUUUGUAGAAAUUAAUUAAAUUUAAAAAAUUUUUUAAAAAAAUGUAGUAAUUAAUAUUAAAUAUUUAAGAAAUUAAGAUUUAGUAAUUUAAAAUUAAUGACAAAAUUUGUGCCAGCAGUUGCGGUUAAACAAAUAUUAAAUUAAAUUUUUUUUAGUAAUAAAUAAAUAAAUAAAUUUAAAAUAUAAAAAUUAAAUUAUUAAGUGAAAUUUUAAUUUAAUAUAAAUAUUAAUUAAUUUUAUGAUUUAAAAAAAUUAAAAAAUAAACUAGGAUUAGAUACCCUAUUAUUUUAAUUUAUUUUAAAAAUACUAUAUUAGUAAAUAAUUAUUUAUUGAAAAUUAAAUAAAUUGGCGGUAUUUUAGUUUAUUUAGAGGAAUCUGUUUAAUAAUUGAUAAUCCACGAAUAAAUUUACUUAAUUUAAUAUUUUGUAUAUCGUUGUUAAAAAAAUAUUUUUUAAAAUUAAAUAAUAUUUUAAUAUUUUUAUUAAAAAAAUUAAAUCAGAUCAAGAUGCAGAUUAUAAUUAAGAAUAUAAUGGAUUACAAUAAAAUUAUUUAAUUGAAUAAUAAUUUGAAAUAUUUAUUUGAAAUUGGAUUUAAAUGUAAUUUUAUUUAAUUUAUUAAAAUGAUUUUAAAUUUAAAAUAUGUACAUAUUGCCCGUCGCUUUCAUAUAAAAUAUAAUUAUAAUUUUUUUUUAUUAAUAUAUGUAUAUAAAAUUAUAAUUAAAAAUAAAUUGAAAUAAGUCGUAACAAAGUAGAAAUACUGGAAAGUGUUUCUAGAAAAUC
rnacentral:rRNA from 1 species